rnacentral:rRNA from 1 species
AGAGUUUGAUCAUGGCUCAGGAUGAACGCUAGCGACAGGCUUAACACAUGCAAGUCGAGGGGCAGCGGGGAGCAGCAAUGCUCUGCCGGCGACCGGCGGACGGGUGAGUAACGCGUAUGCAACCAACCUACCAGCGGGGGAUAAUCCACCGAAGGGUGGUCUAAGACCGCAUAAGACAGGGGCACCGCAUGGUGCUAUUUGUUAAAGGGAACACUGGUAGACGGGCAUGCGUUCCAUUAGGCAGUUGGAGGGGUAACGGCCCACCAAACCGACGAUGGAUAGGGGUUCUGAGAGGAAGGUCCCCCACAUUGGUACUGAGACACGGACCAAACUCCUACGGGAGGCAGCAGUGAGGAAUAUUGGUCAAUGGGCGGAAGCCUGAACCAGCCAAGUCGCGUGAAGGAAGAAGGAUCUAUGGUUUGUAAACUUCUUUUGAAGGGGGAUAAAGUGCGUCACGAGUGGUGCAUUGCAGGUACCCUUGGAAUAAGCAUCGGCUAACUCCGUGCCAGCAGCCGCGGUAAUACGGAGGAUGCGAGCGUUAUCCGGAUUUAUUGUGUUUAAAGGGUGCGUAGGUGGCUUUUUAAGUCAGCGGUGAAAACUGGCGGCUCAACCGCAAGAGUGCCGUUGAAACUGGGGAGCUAGAGUAUGAACGAGGUACGCGGAAUGGUGUGGUGGUACCGGUUGAAAUGCAUAGAUUAUCACGAAAACUCCGGAUAGCGGAAGGCAGCUUACCAGGCCAUAACAGAUACUGAGCACGAAGGCGGUGGGGGAUCGAACAGGAUUAGAUACCCUGUAGUCCCACGCAGUAACGAUGAUUACACUAGGAGUUGGCAAUAACAGUAAGCUCUCGAGCGAAGCAUAGUCAUCAGCUGGGGGAGUACGCAGCCACGAUGCACUCAAGUAUGAAGCGGACCGUCAAGCGGACGAACGUGUGAUUAAGUCCGAUGA